AGAAUCAACGCUGGCGGCGUGCCUAACACAUGCAAGUCGCACGAGAAAGGGACUUCGGUCCUGAGUAAAGUGGCGCACGGGUGAGUAACACGUGAAUCAUCUACCUCCGAAUGGGGAAUAACUGAGAGAAAUCUUAGCUAAUACCGCAUAAUACCUACGGGUCAAAGCAGCAAUGCGUUUGGAGAGGAGUUCGCGGUCGAUUAGUUAGUUGGCGGGUAAUGGCCCACAAGACGAUGAUCGAUA
rnacentral:rRNA from 1 species